UCGCGGCUUAUCACCGGCAGUCCCCUUAGAGUGCCCAACUGAAUGAUGGCAACUAAGGGCGAGGGUUGCGCUCGUUGCGGGACUUAACCCAACAUCUCACGACACGAGCUGACGACAGCCAUGCAGCACCUGUCUCCGCGCCCCUUGCGGGGACCGCCCAUCUCUGAGCGUGGCACGGGAUGUCAAACCCUGGUAAGGUUCUGCGCGUUGCGUCGAAUUAAACCACAUGCUCCACCGCUUGUGCGGGCCCCCGUCAAUUCCUUUAAGUUUUAAUCUUGCGACCGUACUCCCCAGGCGGGGUGCUUAAUGCGUUAGCUUCGAUACUGAGAGCCAAGUUGCUCCCAACAUCCAGUUCGCAUCGUUUAGGGCGUGGACUAC
rnacentral:misc_RNA from 1 species